rnacentral:lncRNA from 1 species
GUUAUGUGCUAUUCACUUUACUUAGUGUACUUCAACUACUGAUGGACAUAGAUGGAUAGGUAUUUGGAGUUCCCUACCCUAAUCCCCAAAGUUUCUUCAAAUGUUCCAGCUCCGUGUGUGCAUACCAUAGGUGAAGUUCAGCAUUUUCCCCUUGUUUUAAAGCAAUUUUACUCUAUUUUGUUGUUGUUGCUUGUUUUUAAUGAUGACAGGAUAUCCACUGAAAAUAACCUCAAAGUGUGCAUUGUGUAGAACAAGCAGAGUACUGCUGUUACCCUAGCAGUCCUCUGAGGAUAUCAUGAUAGAAUGGAAACAUUAUUUGUAAUAAUGUGAAUA